rnacentral:rRNA from 1 species
AACGGGUGAGUAAUGCGUGACCAACCUGCCCCAUGCUCCAGAAUAGCUCUUGGAAACGGGUGGUAAUGCUGGAUGCUCCAACUUGACGCAUGUCUUGUUGGGAAAGUGUUUAGUGGCAUGGGAUGGGGUCGCGUCCUAUCAGCUUGUAGGCGGGGUAAUGGCCCACCUAGGCUUCGACGGGUAGCCGGCCUGAGAGGGCGGACGGCCACAUUGGGACUGAGAUACGGCCCAGACUCCUACGGAGGCAGCAGAA